rnacentral:misc_RNA from 1 species
UAUUUUACUUGGAUCAAUUAUUUAUUUCUGACUCGUUUCACUUCUUAUUCUAAUAAAGUUCAUUUUGAUGUUCGUACACAGUACUGCAAGCAGAACAUUCAAAGCAGGACUUCCGAGAUUACACAGAGAUAUAUCCCUGCGUAAACGAACGACGAAUUGCGCUGCAGUCACUUUCGCAGACGAAGUAAACAAACUUCUGCAGUAGUGACUGCAUAAACGAAUGCACCCAAAAGCUUCGAAGCGUUUGAUUAACCAAUCAAAAUAAAAAUUUUAUGAAUUGGCCAAUCAAAAAAUGCUUCGAAGCAUUUGUAGCACCAAGUGGACUGCACCUCUAUUGAAGAUUUCGGUGGAAACUAGACUAUUGAGAAGAUAAAAGGGACUUCUAUUAAAUAGAGAAAAAAGCAAUUUUUACCUUAAUAUUAUUGAAUGUUCAAAAUUAUUCGAUUUGCAUUAUCAGUUUGUCAGGAGUAUAGCCUAAAAAAGUAUCGUUUAAGUUGAAAAUUUGGUAAUACUACUCGCCGAGUUGAUCGGCAAAAUUAGUUUAUUGGUGAGUUUGGUUGUCGAUGCAAAUAAUAAUUUGAAUCCAUGAAGAUGAAUGUCGAAGAGAAGAGACUCAGGACAUUUCGCGAGUGGCCAGCGAACGCUGCGGUUGAUCCGGUGCGUCUUGCGAAAGCAGGAUUUUAUUAUACCGGACACAUUCUGGAAGUACAAUGUUUUUUAUGCGGAACAAAAAUAUCUGAUUGGAAUUACGGUGAUCAAGCUAUGGUCCGUCAUCGAUUAAAGGCACCUAAUUGCCCUUUCGUCCGUGAUUCAGCCAGCACAUGCAAUGUGCCAUUGAUACCAGUAGCUGACAAUACCACUGCAGUAGAAUCGACAACACAAAGUCGACAAUUACUGGAUUUGCAACAAUCUAAUAGUGUUGGAAACAAUUCAAGUAUGGUACAAAGGCCAAUGGAUCCUUCAAAGGAAUAUAGCACCAUCACGCAGAGACUAUUGUCAUUUAACAAUUGGCCGAUAAGUAGCAUUGUUCAUCCGGAGCAACUAGCCUUAGCAGGAUUUUACUAUCUUCAAUGUGAAGACAUGGUGGAAUGCGCAUUUUGCAGAGGUAUCUUAAUGAAUUGGAAACCUGGUGAUGAUCCAGAUUGUGCGCACAGAUUGAGUUUUCCAAAUUGUGAUUUCUAUAUGAGACGAGAUACAGAAGAUGAUCUUUUAGGCUUAGUUAGAGUCAUACCUGAGACUAUAACAAAUAUGACAGAAUUAGGAAUACAAAGACAUAAGGCACCUCAAAGGCCAGAAUAUACAACAUAUGAGAAAAGAUUGCAGACUUUUAGAGGAUGGCCGAAAAAUCUUAAGCAAACUCCAGAGAUGUUAGCUGAAGCUGGAUUCUAUUAUGGCGGAUAUGAAGAUCAAGUUAGAUGUUUUCACUGCGAUGGAGGGUUACGAUAUUGGCAACCAACGGACGAUGUAUGGGUUGAACAUGCACGGUGGUUCUCAAAUUGUGGUUUUGUAAAUCUUAUCCGUGGACACGAAUUUGUGAAAUAUUGCAUAAAUAAUAGAACACCUUUGGAUCUUUCGAUUAUUACUGGUAUAUCAGAAGAAGAUAAUGCUGCAGAAACUUCGAUUGAAUCUCUUUCUUCAAUUCCACAAUCUAAUGAAUCAGAUGCAAUGGCAUCUGUGGCAGAUGUCGCGGCAACAUCAAUUACAUCUCUUCCUACAAUUUCACAACUUAGUGAAUCAACAACAGGUACAAUAGCAGAUGCCGCAGAAGCUACAGUUGUAUCUUUACCUACAAUUUUACGAUCCAAUGAACCAAUAACAAAUGCAGCUGUUGAGAAGCUCUUAGAGACAGUCCCAGCUAAGACUGCCCUUGAAAUUGGAUUACAUGUAGGUAGAGUAAAGAGAGCUCUGAAGAAAAGAAUGGAAAGAUUUGGUAAACCAUACACGGAUGUUGUUCAACUCAUACAAGAUGUUCUGCACGAUCAAGUUCUGGAAGAGGAUAAUGGAUGUGAUAAUGGUACUUCUGAUUCCCCAACUUCAGAAUUGAAUAACUUAUUUAAUCAAGUUACUAUGCAAAUAGCUAAUAAUUCUACAAACAAAAAUAAUGCACAAGAAUCUGACGCAUUCGAAAAAGAAGUCGAAGAAAGGAAGAGGGAUAAUGAAUCAGAUGAUCUUAUGUCUUUGCGAGAAGAGAACAGAAGAUUAAAGGAAGCCCGUUUAUGCAAAGUUUGUAUGGAUCACGAACUAGCCGUAGUAUUUUUACCUUGUGGCCAUUUAGCAACAUGCAACAACUGCGCACCGGCUCUUGCGAAUUGUCCUUUAUGCAGACUAGGAAUUCGUGCUUAUGAUAUAUAAAAGAGGCACAAUCUCGCCUAAUGCUGAUAUAACCCCACCAUAUGUCAGAUUGCGAUAAAAUCUAUAUGUCAAUAUGUUAUAUAUCAAUGGUGUCUCACUGAUAGUAUAUCUCGCAGACAGAAUCCAAAGCUAUAGUAAUUAGUGUUAUUGCGUUUGCCGAAGGUCUAAGAAUAAACUCGGCCAGAAUCGUCCCAAAGAAAUGAAAAAUAAAGAAUAUUCAUAUUUAGAUAAUUUCGCACUUUGUCAAAUGCAAGAAUAAUAUAAAUGUGAUAUUCGCAAUAUUUAUUGGAGCAAAAAUUGUAUAGUAAUUAGAUGUUAUCUAAAUGUUAUAUAUCGAAGACAAUAUUUUAUGUACAGUUUGAUGAUUGCAAAAUAGAAAUCUGUUGUGAAAUCGAUGUCACGUGUCGUGUGUACACUUUUUAAAAUAUAAAAGCAUUUUUACACACGU